UUGGUGUAGUGUAAGGGUGGUGUAGUUUUAGGGUGGUGUAGUGUUAGGGUGGUGUAGUGUUAGGGUGGUGUAGUGUUAGGGUGGUGUAGUGUUAGGGUGGUGUAGUGUUAGGGUGGUGUAGGUGUAGUACCUGGUAGGCUGGCCUGGGGGCUGAACAGGUCUGUCAGACCCAUGGCCUGCAGCUUCUCCUUCAGACUGAAGCUGUCCUCGACCCUGAAGCGAGGGAUCUGGACGGAGACGGUGGUCUCCGUCAGGCCGUCCAGCCACUCCGUUAGCUUCUGGAGGUCCAGCAUCUCCUCCACCUGAAGAACACGGCCAUGAGAUCCUCCACCAGGCUCUCCAUCACUGGACUCCAAGGGAAGCUUUAUCCAGUCCUGUCCAGUAUUGUAGGACCCGUCUAUCUGACCUGUCUCAUCUAGCCAGUGGAUAAACCACUGGGAUCAGACACAGAUUAUUUUGUCUGAUCCCAGGAAGCUUGUCUGUCUCAGAAGAGCUGGUGUUUCAUUCUGUUUUACGCUCUCCAGGACCACAAUGUUUGGGGCGUGAGUGUUGAUGGGAGUUUGCUUCAGGUGUAGGAAGCAUGACAUGUGAACGAUCACCAAGUCUCAUUUUAGGUCUAUAAACAUGAAGCCGUCUUUUCCCAGACCACCAAAGACUUCUUGAUUGUUCGAAGGGAAUAAGGACUCCCAACCAUUUCGUGUUUUAUAGACUGGUAAGAUUAAUUAAUCUCAGCCCUCUGGCACGGUUGGGGAAGUUUGAGAACUGGAGCAAUGUGGUGUACUAUUGUUUCUGGAGAACUCCUGCAUGCUUCCACCUGAGAUGGCAGCAUGCAGGAGCAAUUCCAGGUCUGGUUAUAUGGUAGGCCUACGAUCCUUUGUAUAUUUAAGGUCCUAGUAGGCUGAUUUAAACCGGAUUUUCAAAGUGACGAUAGCACCCACAUUUCUGGCCUGAUGUCUUUAGUGAUUCAGGCUCUGUUUGGUCAAUGUUUAGCAGUACAGAACCUUCUGGAGGAUCAAGUUAUUUAUCACCGAGAUACAUUGGAGUAAAAUUAGAGGAUCAAUAUGUGUGCCAUAAGCACAUUAUGGUUGGCAGUAUUGUAGACCCGGGUCGCAUGCGCGCGGUACCCAUGGGGUAGCCCGCUACCUAGAUGCAAGAUCCUUGAGGUACUACAGAAGUCGUGAUACUCUUCUUGGAAACAAAGUUGUCAAUGGAGUCAAAUCCCUAUCUGCAGGUGUGAACUGAACAAGUGCAGGACAGGAAGAGAUGACCGACUGGCUCUGGAGUCUAUCUAGUGAUAUAGAAUAUGACUUCUAUAAGACUUAAGGCAAAGUUAAGGUCUUUACUAUCCUUAAUUAUCCCCUUUCUCUCAGUACUGUGUCAGCACAACCAGAAAGAUCUCAAAGCCAUAAUUAGCCUUUAGGAAACUGCUGAGCUGCUGAUAGACAACCUCCUUAAUGACCCCAACUAUACAUGCUAGGUAUGAGGUGUGAGACAGGCAGUGUGGUACGAGGUGUGAGACAGGCAGUGUUUUACAAGGUGUGAGACCUGGUCAGGCUCUUAAACCAUGCAUCUGCCUCAUCCUUUACUGAUGGCGGUUAAAGGUUACAGGUGGGGUUUGGGGUUACCUGGGCUAGGGGCUUGUGUCUUGCGGGCAGGAUGAUGACCAUGGUGAUGUCAUCGCCGCGGUAGGGUAGCUCCAGCACUUGUACCUGGUCGUCCUGGAAACGGGCGUACUGGAACUUGGUUUCCUGGAACAUCAUGGAGACGCUGCAGGUUCGGCUCUCGCUGACGGUAAAGUCCGCCUUGUAGACGUUGUGUUUGUCAAACUGGCUCUUCCACUGACCCUGAGGACGACAUCAGCGGACAUCAGGAGAGGAACCAGGAGAUCCAUAACCCCAUCCUGACCCUAGACCCCUGGAGGAGAGGGAUCAUAACCCCGUCCUGACCCUAGACCACUGGAGGCGUAAGGAUGGCUCCAUCGUUCCAUCAUUCUCACCUUGAAGUAGAUGGUGUUGACCAGAACCAGGACGGUGUUGGAGUCCAGUGCUCCCGUGGGCAGAACGUCCCGGAUCUUGUCCUCAGUCUGGUUGGACACCCAGUGGUUGAUGGUGACCCGGGCGUCUUCUGGGUGCUCCUGCAACAUAUGGCACACAGCUUUUCUUCUACCGAUCUCUGCAGGUCGUUAACCACAACUGUGUAAAAAGGUUACCUUGAAGUUGAGGGGCAGCAGCUUGGCACCGUACACCAUCUGGCUGAUGUUCUGGUAGUUCUGGUUGUAGGCAAGGGACUGCUCUCCAAACAGUCGGUUUGCAGACACAAGCUUUGUGCUCUUGUCUUUCUUACGAUACAAACGACAGUUGAGCUUGGCGAAGAAGAAAUGCACCUGGUCCGAUGUCUUUUCCUUAAUGGUGGUGAAGCCAAACACCUAGGAGGGAGAGGUGAGGUUACCGUGGUCACAAGCACUCUCAAACCACCAGUGGUCCUGAUGCUUACCUCCAUGAUCUGCUCCAGAGUCUGAUUGCAAGCUCCCAGUUUGGUCAUGGCAAAGGCUGUGGAGAUGCUAAUGGGAGACAUGAAUAUGUUGGCGUCGCUCGACUUGUUCUGGGCCAGCUGCUUGUAGAGGGAGAGGGCGAAGAAUCCGUUGGCCUUGGACAGCUCCCAGACCCGCGGGUUGGUGGACUCUGGGAUCUUCUCCGGCUCUCCGGUCGGGACGGGGGGCUCGUCUUCGGGGGUGGGGUUGCGGUAGAUGCAGUGAGGCUCUAAGGGGAGGUCUCGGGGCUUGGCAUUGCAGAUAUCAACAUCCUGGGAGGUUGCAAGCAGGGGCAG